rnacentral:lncRNA from 1 species
UUUUAAAAAGCCUUCCUGCAAGUUUUAGUAAAAUACAUCAAUUGAAUUACCAAAUAACUGAGAAAUGAUUCAAUAUGACCACAUAUGUCCCACCCUAAUUUAAUGAAAGAAAACAGAAAUAAACCUCAGUUUAGCUAUAAUCAUAUAAUUAGAUUUUCCUAACAUAUUGGAGGAUGGAAGCCACAUUCAUCGGCAUUAAGUUUGUCCCAGGGAUUAUUUUAAGCAUCUACUGUCACACAGCAGAAAAGCCUCUUUAACAUGAUCAGCUGAGUUUACCUCUAGUACUUUCUUUAAUUUUGUUGCAGGCUACUUCUCCUUUGGAAUAUUUAAGCAUGGUCUAGUCAAUAAUAUUUUGCUCUAAUCCUUUGGGACAUAUUUUUUAAUAAGGCCAAAGGUUAAUGCCUUAGUUAGCAGAGCUAUUUAAACAGUCUACUAAGAAGUCAAUAUGAAUUGUCAAUGAAAUACAAUCAGCUAUAGGUGAUUUAAUGAAUGUGGCUAUGAUAUACAUGGAAAAUUGCAUAGCAGUGAUUGACUUGAUGGUUUUCAGAAGCUGUUAAAAAGACUAGCACAAAUAGAUUAUCUAACUAAAAAGGUUAAGACAGUUAAAUAUAACUGUGACUAUGUUCCCUAUAUCAACAUUUUACCCAGAAAAAAAUAUUUUCUGGAGUGAUUAUAGGUACC